AGUGAACGCUGGCGGUAGGCCUAACACAUGCAAGUCGAACGGCAGCACAGUAAGAGCUUGCUCUUACGGGUGGCGAGUGGCGGACGGGUGAGGAAUACAUCGGAAUCUACUUUUUCGUGGGGGAUAACGUAGGGAAACUUACGCUAAUACCGCAUACGACCUACGGUUGAAAGCAGGGGAUCUUCGGACCUUGCGCGAUUGAAUGAGCCGAUGUCGGAUUAGCUAGUUGGCGGGGUAAAGGCCCACCAAGGCGACGAUCCGUAGCUGGUCUGAGAGGAUGAUCGGCCACACUGGAACUGAGACACGGUCCAGACUCCUACGGGAGGCAGCAGUGGGGAAUAUUGGACAAUGGGCGCAAGCCUGAUCCAGCCAUACCGCGUGGGUGAAGAAGGCCUUCGGGUUGUAAAGCCCUUUUGUUGGGAAAGAAAAGCAGCAGGUUAAUACCACGCUGUUCUGACGGUACCCAAAGAAUAAGCACCGGCUAACUUCGUG
rnacentral:rRNA from 1 species